AAAAGCAAAACGGUGCCCGUUAGCGUUGAGGUAUAUGCGCUGUGUUUCGCACCGCUGCUGCUGCUGCUGCUCACCUCUUUCUUUCUCUUGCUGCCCGCUUCUUUCGCCGGCCUUUACUUCUGCUUCACUGGCUUCCUUUUUUUUUUUCGCUCUGUUCUCGUGGUGUGUGUGUGUGUGUGGUGGAAGAGAUAUCUGUCCGCCUCUGUUCUCUGUGCCUGUCUAGCUGUCCUUGCACCUCAGAAGAAAUAUCGCAUUGCCUUUUCAGUGAGACAGCUGCACCAUUGGUGAAGAGCUCUGCACGACAAAGUCAUUGAGAGCCAGUUUUGAUGUGUGCUGUCGCUCCUUAGCACAGUGCUCCUCAGUGCCUAUACUGCCCGUGAAGAACGUUUUUUUUUGUUUUGCCAUUUCCUGUCUUCUUCGCAACUGUUGGAGAAGUCAAUGUCUUCACUUGACACGCGAGACGCAGUGAAGCACUAUGAGCUGCGUCACAACGUCUUGUUGCAGAGUAUACUGCCCGGGGGUCUCCUCUCGUCUCUGGAACUGAAGGAGCGUUGUGAGGCUCUUUUGGUGCCGCGGCAGGUCUCGCUCGAGGUGCUGCACAUUGCCCCGUACUUUCUAGCCACUGCACAGCGUCCAUCCACCGAGUCGAGCGCCAAGGCCGCACCACCGCUGUCGGCGCUCUUUGGUGAGGAAGACGACGCGGCAGAGAGGGGCGGAUCUCCCCAACAGGGUAAUGACGCCGCGAAUGAUGGGGGGCGGGCCGGCGGCGUGACGUUUCCGCCAGAAAACAUCGACGCUUUCAGGGCUGUCCUCACCCGGUUUCUCGAGUAUCACCUCCUGCACUUCGACGGCUUUGGAAACUCCGAGUUCACCAACCUUAGCGGCCAGCGCGGCUCCUUCGCCGAAGAUCUGGACCAUGUGAAACGGUUCGGCCACUUUGGCCAGGUCGCCGUCCUCGCUGAUGCAGAUGCGCUUCGACCAAGGGGUAGCGGCGCUAGCGCUGACGGUACCUCCGCAGCCGCGGGCAAUCUUCCAUGCCAUCCCUCGUCUCUGCAAAUCUUCAUAAUCGACAAGCCUUUGAUGGACUCUGAAGAAGUGCGCCUCGUCAGGGAGGCGCUGCACAAGCUCACAGUGUCCGCGGUUUCCAAAAUCGAGGCGAAGAUGUGCACGCCAAGGCUCACGACCAGCCUGGUAGACAUACCGUUUUUAAUGGGAGACCAGGACGCUGGACACUUGACAGCGCACAUGAAGCAAUCGUCGGAACAGUACGCUCUAUCGGCACCCUCAGCAGCCCGCGUGGCGGCGGCGAACGCAAUAGACGCAACGGAUACGAACUCCUGUGACGGGUCCCUUACCGAAACGGUUGUGAUUGAGGACUUUGAAGAUGAGCCGCCGGAGGAUCCUGACCUGGAGGCCUACGUGGCCAAGUACACGCACAUUAGCGAGCGGCAGCGUCAGCGCAGCGAAUCGACUCUCUCGGCGAGGGAAAUGUUGAACAGUGGCGGCAAUGCCAACGCUCAAGAUGAGGUGAGUCGCGCACCGUGUUUGUCCCACUCGCUCCCCUCUGCCCACGGACACCAAGACGUUGCUGUGGCCGGUGCUGGCUGCCCUCCGAAUGCGUCUAGAGCGGCAGGUACAAAGACUGCUGCUGCCGCCAAGACUAGCAUGCACGCCAAUGUUCUGUGCCACGAGUACAGCCGCGAGUGCAUCAAGGACUACCGCCGUGUAGUGGCCGCCGACAACGAGAUCUUCUACAGCGAGUUUGAGCGGCUCAUGUCACUACGGUGCGCGGGUUCGCUGGCGAGGGUGAUGAGCGAGUACGUGUCGAAAAAUCAGCACUUGCAGCAGCCAAUUCGGAGUAGUGCCGUGUACAAUAAGUUCGUGGAAAGGUGCCACGCACUGUUGCGCAGGACCCCGCGUCUCUCUGCGGACAGGGAGCGGCUGACGAUAAUGCAGGAGGGCGUCGAACGGUACGUCACGUCGCGCCUCUACCACCAAAUCUUCAACGUUUCUGAGGACGAGCGGCGCAAAAACGAGCGAAUGCAGCAGAAGCUCCUACGGCUGGAGAACAUGGCGCCAGCGGAUUUGGAUGCGCUGCCAGAAGUGGAGCUGCACCACGUGUGGGGCCAGGCGAUGUUUGAGCUGGAUGGCAUGGACUUCUUCAAGUCCCCGCGAGAGAAGCUGCGGUGUGGAAUGCGGUCAUGCGAGCUGCUGAGCCUCGCGGUCGGUGACAUUCUUCGACAGCGGCGCGAAGCCAAGCGCGCAGAGAAUGCUGCCAAAACCGCCGCCUCCGGGAACGCCGGUGGUGUUCCGCUAGCGUUCGGUGCCGACGAGUUUUUGCCUUGCUUUCUCUUGCUGGUGCUCCGCGCUCGUCCGCUGAGCUUUGUGCAGAACGUGCUCUACAUUGAAAAGUUCCGCUGUCCCGCACUCAUGUCCACUGAGGAGUCGUACUGCCUUGCGACACUGCAGUCGUCCUUGCUAUUCUGGGAGAACUACGGUGAGGACGGGCAGAUGGAUGCGGCCUGUACCACAGCCUCCCCGCCUGGUAGCGCUGAAGCGACGUCGCACAACGGGGGUUCAGCGAGCAUCCGCGCGCUCACCAAGGCGCCCCCGUCACUUUCGGGGAUAAUGCAGCAACAGCAGCCACCGCCACAGAUGACGGAGAAAGAUCUGCUGCCUUCUGUGCGACAGGCGUCCUCUACUGGUCGCCAGCAGGCCGGGCUGACAAACAUCAGUCAGCCAGGCAGCGAAGCAGCAGCAGUCUCAGAGGGGAGAUCGAUGGAAGAGGAGGCGCCAACCGUCCUGGAUGUGCUGUUUGGCUGGGCGAACCGGAACUUGGCCCCCCUCGCCAGUGAGAUUGGCCUCGGUGGAAAAGCCGGUGGCUCGGAUGGAGACGGAUCAGCACGUCAAAGUGACAGCCUCGGUACUAAGCCGGCUUCCAUCACUGGCCCAGGUGCGGUUGGACGCCUCUCCCCACCGCGGGGCACCGUCGCAGCGCCCACCUCCGGCAGCGAAAGGGCCGAUGAAGUAAAAGAUACAAGUUGUGCUGCUGAUGUUUUCCACGCCGCCUUGGCACCAGCGUUAUCACCGCCCCACCUUGCUUCCGAUAUGUCCCCGCGCGCCCGUGUGCGGCAGCUUCUGGUGACGCAGAAUAAGACAUUUGAACAGCUCACGUUGGCAGAGCUGCAGAUGAUUGUGGAAGAGGCUCGUCAACUCCUACUUGAGGGUAAAUAGGCGAGCGUUUGCCUGUCACACAUUGGGAGACCUUUUUGUUUGGUUUUGUUAUUUGGCGGUGGCGGGCAGAGAGAAAGAGAGCAGGAAAAGGAUGAGUAUAUACCGGAGCAAAUGUGGAGGCGUGAGGCGGCCUUGCCGUUGCUCUGUCCUCUGCGGCUCCGUGCCUUUCGCGUGAUUCUCUUCUUUGCUGCCUUGGUCAGUGGACGAUAGAAACGGAGCUCGUUAAUUGUUUUUUUUUCCUUGCACUUUCCCGUCACCUUCUGGGAUUGUUUCGCUUUUUUUUUCGCCUGUGUCCCGACCGCGAGGGUGCCUUUCUCGGGGUGUUUUCGCUUGCGCGCAUGUGUGGUGGUUUUUUUUUUCAGCUCGCCUGUGCUCGGCAGUGCCUCGCGAACGACGACCUCUGCUAUCGCUAGUGCCCUCCACUUCCUCGUACCCCCGUGGUGAGGCUCUCACAUGUGUCUUCUCUGUUUUGGUAGCGCUUCCGAUGUGGACUUUUUUUUUGUUGCCCCUUUUUCGUUGGUUCAUCUUCUGUGCUCUUCGCCGCGUUUUGCCUGUUUCUCUUCUGUACCUCACUGGGUGUGCGUUCUUGGUCUCCCCGUCACCGUUUGCUGCUGAAGAAGUGUCUUUUCUAUGAGCCCCUGUGCACCUGCAAUCGGUGAAAACACUUGUUUCUUCUUUUUGUGUGCGUCUCGGGGGCUGCCCUUCGCGCCACACUCCGUAGCAUACGCUCCCCCUUUGUAUCCGCGUAGGCUGGUGCAGCGAGCCACGCGCUGUGAAAAGAAAAAGGCAUCGAUCACCAUUCUUCGCCUUUUUUGUGUGGCAAAGCGGUUUCGGCAGCAUACCCCCCCCUCCUCCCCCAGAAGAGCAGAACGAUGAACAUGCUUAUGUGUGUUGCUCCUCCUCCAUGAUCGCUCGUCGCCCGGGACGGUGGUUUCAUUCGUCGCUUCCUCUUCCACUCCCCCUUCUGUUUGCUCUUUUCCAAG
rnacentral:misc_RNA from 1 species